GUCUGCAAUCUGAGGUUUUGGGUCUAAGACAGCAGCUGCCAUCUGGGGCUCUCCUCCAGGGCACCUUGCUCACUCAGUGCCCUGGCUAUGGUGGAUCCUCCCGUGGCCAUUCACAGUUCCUUCCGUGUGGUUCAUCAGAGCCUGAGGAUUCUUAACAGCUGUGAGGAAAAUCAAACUUCCAGGAAAAGCUGGGUGCAGAAAAAGAACUGGAGUCAUUAUGCUGGGUUGGGAAGCCUAUGGAGACAGCAGGUUUGGUCUAAUCACAUGGACAGAGACCAGGAUUGCACCACAGCUCUUGUUCAAAAGAAACCAAAUUCUGAGGAACAGUAAGUGGCUUGAAUUAUAAAUUAGUUGCAUCUAUGUGUGAAGGAUUUGCUUAUGAGGUUGGGAAUUUCCUUGUCAUGACCUUGUGAAAGCCUGGGGAAGGGGCACAGAUCCCUCAGCAACCACUGCUGCCACCAGCAGCACCAAACCAUGUCCUGGUGCCCCCGUGCAGCACCUGCAGGGUGUCAUCCCCCUGUCCCUGCUCAGUGUAAUCCCCUGUCCCUGAAGGGUGUCAUCCCCUGUCCCUGAAGGGUGUCAUCCCCUGUCCCUGCAGGGUGUCAUCCCCUGUCCCUGCUCAGUGCAAUCCCCUGUCCCUGCAGGGUGUCAUCCCCUGUCCCUGCAGGGUGUCAUCCCCCUGUCCCUGCUUGUGGCCCUGGCCAGACCCUCAGUGGCACCAGGACCCUCAGUGGCACCAGGACCCCUCAGUGGCACCGGGACCCUCGGUGGCACCAGGAUCCCUCGGUGGCACCAGGACCCCUCAGUGGCACCGGGACCCCUCGGUGGCACCAGGAUCCCUUGGUGGCACCGUCCCCAGCAGCUCCUGCCCUGGUGCCUCCCUUUGGCACACAGCAGGGUCACAAAGUGGCCAGCCCUGCUGACGGCUGCACACCAAAAGGCCUGAGAGUCCUCCACAGAUAUCCAAAAACAAUUUAGUAAUUUAAGAUGGCCAAAGGAUGGUUGAUUCUUCUUACCAUGAAAUUUAACAGCCUUCUGGAUUUUAAAUUUUUUCCUGAGGAAAUUGCUCAGCAUGAAUCCUUAAUUCCCUUAGUGUGCCACCAUGCA
rnacentral:lncRNA from 1 species